CUCAAGCCAACCCAGCUUCCUGCUGCGGCGCAGAACUCGGCCACGGGGACUCACCCCCAGCCCCUCGUGAGCCUCCUGGGGCCUGGACUCGAUUCAGGUGCGCGGGGGCACCCCCGCACUAGUGAGAUUUGCAGGGCGCUCUGCCAUGGGCAUGUGUGUGUGCGCACACGUGUGCUCGGUCAUGUCCAACUCUGCGACCCCAUGGCCUGUCUGUGGAAAUGCCAUCACAGCCGGGGCUCCCUCUGAGAUCCCCCCCCCGGGCCACGCCCAAGCUCAGGGCUGCGCUGCAAGGACCACAGGGACGGGGCGAGGAAGGUUUUGGGUGUGGGGUCUUCGGGGCUGGGUUCCAAGCCGCCAGCAAUCUUCCUAGGCGGUGCAGGGGCUCAGACUGUGUCCAGGAGCGGGUUCCAGGCGACUGGGGGAGGCUCCCAUGCCAUCGGGCAUCCGAGGCACCCCCCCUGCAGACCCACCUGGGUGCCCGGGAAAGGCUCGAGGCCUCUGCCAACAGUUCCCAGGGUGUCUUUGCUCUUAGUACAGAGGCCUCCGUCUCCAUGAGGAGCUCCUCUCCCCCCAUUGAACGUUCCAAAGCACCUGCUGGCUCCUGACAGGACGGUGCCCCUGUCCCACCCCGGGGGUGCCAUCUUCUCCAGCGGAGAGUGAGCUCAGGAGGCGUUGAGGAGGCCGUGGGGGCCUGAGCUGGGUUCCAGGCCUGUCUUUCUCAGCCCCUCGCAGCAGAGCCUGUUGCUAGUGCCCAGAUGCACCCCCAGAAACACAGAGCAGCCUCCAGGGCCCAGGCCGGUGUGCUCAGCUGGCACAGCCUGUGGACGGUGCACGUCCCUUCUCUGUGGGUAUCCCGCAUUCAGUGGGGGAGCCAGACCACCAGCAGAUGAAGGGUACUGACGGACUUCUAUAGAUGGGAAGAGGGGGCUGACUGUACCUGGGUGUGGACGAGGCAGGGCUGCUGACCCGGGCUGGCUAGGGGGCGGCUUGGGGGGCCACCCAGCACGUGCGAGGGUCAGCAGGUGGCAGGGGACCCACAGGCAACUCCCCGGGCUGCCCUGCUCCAGACGUCUGCCCAGAGGACUCCCCGGCUGCUAAUGGGGAGUAGCAAAGCCCUUAGCCAUUCCUGGCAGGAAGGCCUUCCAAAGAGAAGAUCCCCAAGGAGAAGCAGCAGGAAGUGAAAGCUCCCCUCCCCAGCCCCCAAAUCCACUUUGUCCCUAAAGGAGAACAGGAAGCUCUGAGAAAAGAAUAGGGAGAGGCAGAGAACAACGGAGAAGUCCUGGCACGUUACAGCAGGGUCUCACACGGGGAAGGGCCUGACCUACCGGCCCAGCCUCACAGGCAAGCAGUCUGAGGUCAGAGUGAGCAGCCGGCUGAUCCUCAGGGGUCUCCCGAUCUAGCUCCCCACGCCAGAGGCUAAAGCAAGCACCUGUCAGCCAGGCCUGGUGCACUUGGCUGGCCCCACCGGGUGGGUCUCUGUGGUCUCGCUGGGCUUGUCAACCCCCUCCCAGGAGCUGGGGACCCGCCGGGAUGACCAGAGCCCCCCCAUCCCCAUGACCUGGAAUCCGAGAGCAAGGUCACAGAGGAUCCACAUAGCAGCGAGAAAGUCACCACCCGACACACAAGCGUUGUUCAGACCUCCUGCUGGAGCAGGAGAACCAGAGUCUGAAGAGGCAGAACCAGAAUCUGCGGGAGCAGCUGGGGGCCCUCCUGGGGCCGGGGCAGCAGUUCCUGCCCUUGUGCCCAGAGCACUCGAGCUGUACGGCCCUGGCCUGGUCCAUGACCACGGACACUGCCGAUGGCCUUGGGGCUGAGCCAGGGGCUCCUCCGCAGCCCCCUGAGCAGGCCUGCGC